ACUAAGCGUACACGGUGGAUGCCCUGGCAGUCAGAGGCGAUGAAGGACGUGCUAAUCUGCGAUAAGCGUCGGUAAGGUGAUAUGAACCGUUAUAACCGGCGAUUUCCGAAUGGGGAAACCCAGUGUGAUUCGUCACACUAUCAUUAACUGAAUCCAUAGGUUAAUGAGGCGAACCGGGGGAACUGAAACAUCUAAGUACCCCGAGGAAAAGAAAUCAACCGAGAUUCCCCCAGUAGCGGCGAGCGAACGGGGAGGAGCCCAGAGCCUGAAUCAGUGUGUGUGUUAGUGGAAGCGUCUGGAAAGGCGCGCGAUACAGGGUGACAGCCCCGUACACAAAAAUGCACAUGCUGUGAGCUCGAUGAGUAGGGCGGGACACGUGGUAUCCUGUCUGAAUAUGGGGGGACCAUCCUCCAAGGCUAAAUACUCCUGACUGACCGAUAGUGAACCAGUACCGUGAGGGAAAGGCGAAAAGAACCCCGGCGAGGGGAGUGAAAAAGAACCUGAAACCGUGUACGUACAAGCAGUGGGAGCACAGAGCAAUCUGUGUGACUGCGUACCUUUUGUAUAAUGGGUCAGCGACUUAUAUUCUGUAGCAAGGUUAACCGAAUAGGGGAGCCGAAGGGAAACCGAGUCUUAACUGGGCGUUAAGUUGCAGGGUAUAGACCCGAAACCCGGUGAUCUAGCCAUGGGCAGGUUGAAGGUUGGGUAACACUAACUGGAGGACCGAACCGACUAAUGUUGAAAAAUUAGCGGAUGACUUGUGGCUGGGGGUGAAAGGCCAAUCAAACCGGGAGAUAGCUGGUUCUCCCCGAAAGCUAUUUAGGUAGCGCCUCGUGAAUUCAUCUCCGGGGGUAGAGCACUGUUUCGGCAAGGGGGUCAUCCCGACUUACCAACCCGAUGCAAACUGCGAAUACCGGAGAAUGUUAUCACGGGAGACACACGGCGGGUGCUAACGUCCGUCGUGAAGAGGGAAACAACCCAGACCGCCAGCUAAGGUCCCAAAGUCAUGGUUAAGUGGGAAACGAUGUGGGAAGGCCCAGACAGCCAGGAUGUUGGCUUAGAAGCAGCCAUCAUUUAAAGAAAGCGUAAUAGCUCACUGGUCGAGUCGGCCUGCGCGGAAGAUGUAACGGGGCUAAACCAUGCACCGAAGCUGCGGCAGCGACGCUGAUGCGUUGUUGGGUAGGGGAGCGUUCUGUAAGCCUGCGAAGGUGUGCUGUGAGGCAUGCUGGAGGUAUCAGAAGUGCGAAUGCUGACAUAAGUAACGAUAAAGCGGGUGAAAAGCCCGCUCGCCGGAAGACCAAGGGUUCCUGUCCAACGUUAAUCGGGGCAGGGUGAGUCGACCCCUAAGGCGAGGCCGAAAGGCGUAGUCGAUGGGAAACAGGUUAAUAUUCCUGUACUUGGUGUUACUGUGAAGGGGGGACGGAGAAGGCUAUGUUGGCCGGGCGACGGUUGUCCCGGUUUAAGCGUGUAGGCUGGUUUUCCAGGCAAAUCCGGAAAACUAAGGCUGAGGCGUGAUGACGAGGCACUACGGUGCUGAAGCAACAAAUGCCCUGCUUCCAGGAAAAGCCUCUAAGCAUCAGGUAACAUCAAAUCGUACCCCAAACCGACACAGGUGGUCAGGUAGAGAAUACCAAGGCGCUUGAGAGAACUCGGGUGAAGGAACUAGGCAAAAUGGUGCCGUAACUUCGGGAGAAGGCACGCUGAUAUGUAGGUGAAGUCCCUCGCGGAUGGAGCUGAAAUCAGUCGAAGAUACCAGCUGGCUGCAACUGUUUAUUAAAAACACAGCACUGUGCAAACACGAAAGUGGACGUAUACGGUGUGACGCCUGCCCGGUGCCGGAAGGUUAAUUGAUGGGGUCAGCGCAAGCGAAGCUCUUGAUCGAAGCCCCGGUAAACGGCGGCCGUAACUAUAACGGUCCUAAGGUAGCGAAAUUCCUUGUCGGGUAAGUUCCGACCUGCACGAAUGGCGUAAUGAUGGCCAGGCUGUCUCCACCCGAGACUCAGUGAAAUUGAACUCGCUGUGAAGAUGCAGUGUACCCGCGGCAAGACGGAAAGACCCCGUGAACCUUUACUAUAGCUUGACACUGAACAUUGAGCCUUGAUGUGUAGGAUAGGUGGGAGGCUUUGAAGUGUGGACGCCAGUCUGCAUGGAGCCGACCUUGAAAUACCACCCUUUAAUGUUUGAUGUUCUAACGUUGACCCGUAAUCCGGGUUGCGGACAGUGUCUGGUGGGUAGUUUGACUGGGGCGGUCUCCUCCUAAAGAGUAACGGAGGAGCACGAAGGUUGGCUAAUCCUGGUCGGACAUCAGGAGGUUAGUGCAAUGGCAUAAGCCAGCUUGACUGCGAGCGUGACGGCGCGAGCAGGUGCGAAAGCAGGUCAUAGUGAUCCGGUGGUUCUGAAUGGAAGGGCCAUCGCUCAACGGAUAAAAGGUACUCCGGGGAUAACAGGCUGAUACCGCCCAAGAGUUCAUAUCGACGGCGGUGUUUGGCACCUCGAUGUCGGCUCAUCACAUCCUGGGGCUGAAGUAGGUCCCAAGGGUAUGGCUGUUCGCCAUUUAAAGUGGUACGCGAGCUGGGUUUAGAACGUCGUGAGACAGUUCGGUCCCUAUCUGCCGUGGGCGCUGGAGAACUGAGGGGGGCUGCUCCUAGUACGAGAGGACCGGAGUGGACGCAUCACUGGUGUUCGGGUUGUCAUGCCAAUGGCACUGCCCGGUAGCUAAAUGCGGAAGAGAUAAGUGCUGAAAGCAUCUAAGCACGAAACUUGCCCCGAGAUGAGUUCUCCCUGACUCCUUGAGAGUCCUGAAGGAACGUUGAAGACGACGACGUUGAUAGGCCGGGUGUGUAAGCGCAGCGAUGCGUUGAGCUAACCGGUACUAAUGAACCGUGAGGCUUAACC
rnacentral:rRNA from 1 species